GAUGAAGAACGUAGCGAAAUGCGAUACUUGGUGUGAAUUGCAGAAUCCCGUGAACCAUCGAGUCUUUGAACGCAAGUUGCGCCCGAAGCCUCGGCUAAGGGCACGUCUGCCUGGGCGUCACGCAUCGCGUCUCCCCAAACCGCCAAGGCGGAGGGGAAGGAAGAUGGCUUCCCGUGCCUCACCCGGGCGCGGUUGGCCUAAAUUUGGAGCCCGCGGCACUUAGCUCUCGCGGCGAUAGGUGGUGAACAAGGCCUUGGCCGUGCAAACAACCCGCUGCGAAGCUCUAUGUCACGUGCGCUCGUCGGACCCUUUGAAGUUGCCUUUGGUGACUUAAAACCUUUGCGACCCCAGGUCAGGCGGGGCUACCCGCUGAAUUUAAGCAUAUCAAUAAGCGGAGGA
rnacentral:misc_RNA from 1 species